UGCAGAUCAAUUAUUGCACACAAAUGAAUCACAUGUUCAUAGCAUUCACAAUUCAAAUACUGCAUCUUCCAGAGUUAUACAACGGUAGAACAUAGUUUUAGGCUAAACAAAAUCUUCUGUUUGUUCUUCAACAUAAAUUUCAAGAACUUACCAAAUGCUAAACUAACUUUCAGAUUCUUAGGAAGGUCCACAUAUGUAGGGUCUGUAAACUCGAAAAAAAUUCUAGCAACAAAGAAAAUGCUACUUCAGCAAUUCACAA
rnacentral:misc_RNA from 1 species